rnacentral:rRNA from 1 species
GGGGAAUAUUGCACAAUGGGCGCAAGCCUGAUGCAGCGACGCCGCGUGAGGGACGACGGCCUUCGGGUUGUAAACCUCUUUUAGCAGGGAAGAAGCGAAAGUGACGGUACCUGCAGAAAAAGCACCGGCUAACUACGUGCCAGCAGCCGCGGUAAUACGUAGGGUGCGAGCGUUAUCCGGAAUUAUUGGGCGUAAAGAGCUCGUAGGCGGUUUGUCGCGUCUGCUGUGAAAACUGGAGGCUCAACCUCCAGCCUGCAGUGGGUACGGGCAGACUUGAGUGCGGUAGGGGAGAUUGGAAUUCCUGGUGUAGCGGUGGAAUGCGCAGAUAUCAGGAGGAACACCGAUGGCGAAGGCAGAUCUCUGGGCCGUAACUGACGCUGAGGAGCGAAAGCAUGGGGAGCGAAC